UAUGAUGCUGCGGAGACUGUAGGGAGUCUGCAUGAAUAGAAAUUUGCGAAUGGGGAGCUUGUGUACAUUAUUUUGCAAGCAUGCAGGUGCGCGACAAUCCAUGUAGGUGGGGGAUUUUUGCUUGUGAGACAUACAAGCGCCCGUGAGACAUGCAAAUGGCCAUAGGUGCACGAAAAAUGGGCCCUCUCAUGCGGGCAGCAAGACCCAGGCAUGGGGCUUCGACCAUGUGGCUAGUCCAUAUGUGUAUGCUGGUGCUGGUGUCCGUGAACGGGGGUUUUCU
rnacentral:lncRNA from 1 species